rnacentral:rRNA from 1 species
AUUGAACGCUGGCGGAAUGCUUUACACAUGCAAGUCGAACGGCAGCACGGGGGCAACCCUGGUGGCGAGUGGCGAACGGGUGAGUAAUACAUCGGAACGUGCCCAGUCGUGGGGGAUCACGUAGCGAAAGUUACGCUAAUACCGCAUACGAUCUACGGAUGAAAGCGGGGGACCGUAAGGCCUCGUGCGAUUGGAGCAGCCGAUGUCAGAUUAGGUAGUUGGUGAGGUAAAGGCUCACCAAGCCGACGAUCUGUAGCUGGUCUGAGAGGACGACCAGCCACACUGGGACUGAGACACGGCCCAGACUCCUACGGGAGGCAGCAGUGGGGAAUUUUGGACAAUGGGCGCAAGCCUGAUCCAGCCAUUCCGCGUGCAGGACGAAGGCCCUCGGGUUGUAAACUGCUUUUGUACGGAACGAAAAGGCUCUGGUUAAUACCUGGGGCUCAUGACGGUACCGUAAGAAUAAGCACCGGCUAACUACGUGCCAGCCGCCGCCGUAA